AUAAAAUGCAUGUUUUUUAAAUAGUAUAAACUUAUGGUUUAGUUUUAGAUUCCGAUACUGUCGAUAUUGUCAUGGAUUUGUCAAUAUGAUGUCGAAAUUUUUUUUAAAAGAUACUUAAAUAUUAAGUUAAAAGCAUACAUGACAUAGUGUGGAAAAUAAAAGCAAUGCGUGGAAAAAAAUCUGUAUUGUGUUUACCCGACAGGAUUGUUCUUAAUAGCAUUAUGCAAAUGCAGCUUCAUUUGCACAAAUGUGCACAAAACAGCUUUUGUUACUCUAUACAACAAAAAUGAAACCGCUUAUUUUGUAAUUCUGUGACACUCAGUGCAUGUAUAACGUACAUACAUGUUAUAAAUAAACGAAUGCCGCGGUACCUAACGGAUGUAAAAUUAUUUGAUAGUCCGCAUGUAUCCAUGUCGAUUGGUCAAUAAAUGAACUAAAAAAAAUAUUGUGUCACAACAUUGAAUUUUAAUCAUUAAAUAAAUCUAAUUUUGUUCACCGACUGCAGUACAACCCUCAAUGAAAUUUUAACUAAUAAACAAGUAUAAAAUGUAUUGAGAAUGUUGUUAUAGAUAAUAAAAUUAAUAAACGGA
rnacentral:lncRNA from 1 species